AGAGUUGUAGCUCAGUGGUAGAGCACUUGAAUUGCAUGAAGAAGAUUCCAGGUUCGAAAUACCUGGCAUCUCCA